GACGGAGGGUGCUAGCGUUGUUCGGAAUGACUGGGCGUAAAGGGCGCGUAGGCGGCCAGCUGCGUCGGAUGUGAAAGCCCGGGGCUCAACCCCGGAACGGCAUCCGAUACGGGCUGGCUCGAGACCGGGAGAGGAGGGUGGAAUACCCAGAGUAGAGGUGAAAUUCGUAGAUAUUGGGUGGAACACCGGUGGCGAAAGCGGCUCUCUGGCCCGGUUCUGACGCUGAGGCGCGAAAGCGUGGGGAGCAAACAGG
rnacentral:rRNA from 1 species